ensembl:lncRNA novel transcript
CUUUUCCACCCCUCCCUCUGUGGCGAGCGAGGCUAAGCGUGCGGGUGGGCGUGUGUUUGCAGACCGGCUGCAGCCGCGGCAGAGGAUCUUCAUGGCGGCCGCCUGAGAGGCGGAGGGCGGGCCCGGAGAAAACAGGGAAUGGGGAUAUUGAGCCCGAUCUGCUAGCAGAGGACUCACCGCUGCCUUGCUUUCCCACCCUGACCCACCAACCCCUCACCCGGAACCCGGGCUUGCCUUCUUUACGGGACGACCGGGCCGCACAGGCCGGAAUUAACCGGAGAAGAGGCUGGGCCGCCGCAGAGCCGGGAGGGGUGGUGGGAAGCCAGAGCUGACGAAGUUGGAAAGGACGUGUAGGCGACUAGGCCUGCGCCUCUUGGGGACACCUGAGGACGCCCGCUGGGCAGCUGGCUGAGGAGGGGCCGCCGGGAGGGCGCUCGAUAGCAGGCGUGUCAUUGGGACACUUAAGGCUGCUCUAGCUGUGGCCAGCUUAGAAACAAAGGUCCCGGCAGCGAGGAGAGCGCCCGCCCCAGGAUUUCCUCGAAGAGUGUGUCGUUCUCCCUCCCGGAGGAGCGCGGCCUUCCGUUCCCCGGAGGGCUCUGGAAAGGCCCUUUAACCGGGGUGCCGUCGGGCUCCAUCCUGCUGUGAAAGCGGGAGGAACUACGUUCCCCAGGCUUGAAAAUAAGCGUCCUGCUGGGUUGGCUGCGGCACUGCCAAAGCUAACCCGGCGGAGGUCCUUUGAUCCCGGGGCCACCGCCCGCUCCCACCACCACCUCGGCCUCGGGGAGAACCUGAGCAGGGCUCUCCCACUGAGGGCGUCCUCCCGACUGGGCAUGCACGUGAGGCCGGGGCUGGCUUCGGUCCUCUUCCCUGGGGUAGGAGGCUGGAGGAAACCGAUUUCUCUGCACCCUAAUCUUGCCCUGGCUCCUCCUGAGUGGGGUGAGGAAUCUGGUCGCUCUCCAAGGCUACAGCGACCGGAGUCCUUCAGGGGACACUGUGCAGUCAGCAGUACAACCUGUUGGAGAAAGAUGGCUGAAUCGAGGUGUCUUUCCCCUGUCAACUUUCACUCGGUCAAUCCAAUGUUGAGAAAGGGCUUUUUUUGUUUGUUUGUUAAUUAGUCGCCUAUUCUCACAGUCAUCAGUUUCUGCUUGGUGACUAGUAUUUCGAGCACACAAAUCAGAAGCGACCCUGUAAUUUGUUAAGCAAAGAGCAGAUUUUAUGUGAUUUUUCUACAGCAAGAAACGAUAAUUAAAAAGGUUUGGUAAAACAGGAAAAUACAAUUUAACUGCUGAAGUCAAAUAUAUGGGACUUUUCUGAUGCAUGAGACUAUCAGGCACCUCACUCUUAGGAUGUUCUUCUUGUUUGCCUCUUAAAAUAAUCGCACUACAUUAGUUCCCUAGGGCUGCCGUAACAUACCACAAAUUGGGUGACUUAAAACAACAAAUUAUUAUCUCACAAUUCUGGAGGCCAGAAGUUUGAAAUCAAGGUGUAGGCAGGGCUGUACUCCCUCUGAGGGCACUGGGGAGGGAUCUCGUCCAUGCCUCUCCUAGCUUCUGGUAGUUUCUUGGCAUAUGGUAGCGUAACUCCAAUCUGAACAUGGCUGUUCUCCCAGUGUGCUUGUGUGUUCAAAUUUCCCUUUUUAAUAAGAACAGCAGUCAUAACGGAUUAGGGGCGAACCAUCCUCCAGUAUGACCUCAUGGACGUUAAUUAUAUCUGCAAUGACCCUAUUUCCAAAUCAGGUCACAUUCUAAGGGACUAAGGGUUAGGACUUCUACAUAUGAAUAGGGCCAGCCUGGCCAACAUGACGAAACCCCAUCUCUAACUAAAAA